GAGCGGUAGAGAGAAGCUUGCUUCUCUUGAGAGCGGCGGACGGGUGAGUAAUGCCUAGGAAUCUGCCUGGUAGUGGGGGAUAACGUUCGGAAACGGACGCUAAUACCGCAUACGUCCUACGGGAGAAAGCAGGGGACCUUCGGGCCUUGUGCUAUCAGAUGAGCCUAGGUCGGAUUAGCUAGUUGGUGGGGUAAUGGCUCACCAAGGCGACGAUCCGUAACUGGUCUGAGAGGAUGAUCAGUCACACUGGAACUGAGACACGGUCCAGACUCCUACGGGAGGCAGCAGUGGGGAAUAUUGGACAAUGGGCGAAAGCCUGAUCCAGCCAUGCCGCGUGUGUGAAGAAGGUCUUCGGAUUGUAAAGCACUUUAAGUUGGGAGGAAGGGUUGUAGAUUAAUACUCUGCAAUUUUGACGUUACCGACAGAAUAAGCACCGGCUAACUCUGUG
rnacentral:rRNA from 1 species